UUACUUGAUGGCAUAACAUUUAAGUCAAUUAGGAUCGAUAUACUUUGUAUAUCCACAAGGUGGCAGUAAUGCAAAAACAGUUGUAAUGAAACCGCGAAGAACAACAAGGUUUCACGGCUUGGGCCUGCUCAUGCGCAAGACUUCAAAUUUAACUUAAAAACGUUGUUUUGGCACCAAGCUGCUGUUUCUUUGAGAGAUCCUGCCUUUGCCUGCUCCCUCCUGUACUGAUGUGGUGUAUGUGGUACUGCUGAGCUUGUAUGUGGUAUGUGAACUGUUAUACUUUUAAAAACAAAACUGUUUUAUAAGUUAAGUUUUCUUUAGUGACCCAUCCCAUGCCCCUGUUAUUUCUUCUCCAGAUCUGAACCAUUGUAAAGGUUGCAGUUCAAGGGCCUGAGGUGGAAGAAGAAUUUGUGAGGAUUACUACUGCUCCACUUGUUCCAAGGCUUUUUGCACAACUUGACCAAUACAGUGACCAGCUCAUAAAAAUCUUCAAAAAAAAAAGGAGGCGCUGUAAUGAAGAAAAUUAGACAAAUUUUGGCCCCAGCCACACAGAAGCAAACUAUUGAAAAGGGGAGGGAGUGUGUCCUCAGGGCACUACCUUUUUACCUGAAUGAAGACCCAACCAUCCUCUUCAAAGAAUAAUUGCUACAGCUACAGCUGUUCAGAGGGAGCUGGAACAAAUCACCCUUGCUAUCUUUACCAUCAAAAGAGCUGAUGCCAGCACUCCUCCAGCCGAU